rnacentral:rRNA from 1 species
CAGUGGGGAAUAUUGCACAAUGGGCGCAAGCCUGAUGCAGCAACGCCGCGUGGGGGAUGAAGGCCUUCGGGUUGUAAACCUCUUUUAGCAGGGAAGAAGCCGCAAGGUGACGGUACCUGCAGAAAAAGCACCGGCUAACUACGUGCCAGCAGCCGCGGUAAUACGUAGGGUGCGAGCGUUGUCCGGAAUUAUUGGGCGUAAAGAGCUCGUAGGCGGUCUGUCGCGUCUGCUGUGAAAACCCGAGGCUCAACCUCGGGCCUGCAGUGGGUACGGGCAGGCUAGAGUGCGGUAGGGGAGAAUGGAACUCCUGGUGUAGCGGUGGAAUGCGCAGAUAUCAGGAAGAACACCGAUGGCGAAGGCAGUUCUCUGGGCCGUAACUGACGCUGAGGAGCGAAAGCGUGGGGAGCGAACAGGAUUAGA